rfam:Gossypium hirsutum cultivar TM-1 chromosome 9, whole genome shotgun sequence
AACCCAUGGUAGGGGCAUCUUCUCAAAAUGUCCUUGUAUCUCUCCCAUGCAUCGUAAAGUGUUUCUAAAUCCAUUGGCACAAAAGAAGAGAUAUCAUUACGUAAUUU